rnacentral:lncRNA from 1 species
CUGCACAUUCAUUGGCUAUAUUGAAACUAUACUACAUAUUGUUUUAGUACAUCAGAUUAAAGAGGGGGUGUACAUCAAAACUCAGAAGCGACACAAUAACCUGAAUUCACAAACAACUACGUAUGGUUAAAAGGUGUUAAAACUGUGACAUGUAAGAGCACACACUUUUUUCUUCAUGAUCUUGCAUUUAAUGAGCAAGCAGGGCUCUGGUCAGCAUCUAAAGCUGUGAGGGGGUAUGUUGGCACUCACAACAGGAGCAGAGGUGAAGGACUGUUAGGGAGACAGAUGAAAGCAAACUCAAGUAUGGAGUCCAUGUCAUGAGGGUAAUCACAAAUCAGAGUGGAAAGAAUAGGAGGGAGGGGUAAUUAUACAGAUGGAAAGUGGGUGAUUAAACAGUACACAGCAAACCAUGUAGCUCAGCGAUCAGUAAUAGACUGCAUUGCUGGACAGAGAGCCCAGUGCAUUAGUGACAAGUACUGAUAGAGAGAGAGAGAGAGACAGAGGAGAGAGAGAGAGAGAGAGAGAGCGAGAGGAGAGAGAGAGAGAUGAGAGAGAGAGAGAGAGAAGAGAGAGGCACCAGGAUUAUAUAUAAUAUAAUCCACUACUGCCGGACACACAUAGAGGGGGGACCGACGAUAGCAUCCGGAACAGUGGUGUAACUGCCAGGUAAGAGCCUGUUCCACAAAAUGUUCUGUGUCCACCUCUCUCAGCCCUGUUUGCUCUUUUUCUGCUAUUUGCCAUUACUCCUACUUACUCCAUAGCUUUACACAUUUGCUAUGAAAUGUUUCUAUUAAAUUAUUCUAAUCCAGCAUUCUGAAUUGAACAACUUCUCCUUUCUCCUAAAACCUAUGCAGUGCUGCCCCAGUGCUACCAGGAGACGGAAGAAUGUCUGGUUUCAGAGUGCUGUUGCUGCUGCUCUGCGUCUCUGGCUCCCAGCUCCCCUGGUGCGCUCGCAGUCCCCAUCGGGCCUUCUCACUUGUGUGGUCCUGAUCUGGCGGACGCCUUGUAUUUGAUCUGUGACAUAUCAUGGCUUCCAAAGAGGCGUGCGGAGGCCAGAGUUGUCCUGGAUCAUAGCAGAGGAAGACAAAAUUCACCAAUGAGCAUUUUUGAGAAGUGCUGUGGCUCAGCCUGUGAUAUUCAUGUCUUGCAGGAAUAUUGUGAAAACAUACAAUAGGUGUUGAUAUUUGGAUUAAUGCCAUAAUAAAUGCCAAUGCUAAACCUGCUAACUGUUGCUG